UUUCCGUAGGUGAACCUGCGGAAGGAUCAUUACAGAGUUCUUUCCCUCACGGGUUGAUCUCCCACCCUUGAAUAGUUAUACCUUGGUUGCUUUGGCAGUCCGUGUAAACACCAUGGGCUCCGGCUUAUGCGUGCCUGCCAGAGUAAACAAACUCUGUUUUUAGUGAUGUCUGAGUACUAUAUAAUAGUUAAAACUUUCAACAACGGAUCUCUUGGUUCUG
rnacentral:misc_RNA from 1 species